AACAGGAAGCCUGGAGUUGUAAAGAAGCCAGACGCAAAAUACAUCAUAAAGAUGGAAUUUAUAGCAAGGUUGCCAUGGUGGAAGUGCUUGUAUUACUGUACAAAAAAACAUAACCAGAUGCAAAGCACAUUUAAGCCAGAUCCCUGGGGAACGGAAAACGUUUGGAAUUUUAGAAGAAACAUCUGAGACUUUGUGGACACUUAAAUGAGCUCCCCAUUGCAUAUCCCGAGCUACAAAACAGAAGGCUUUUAUACUUAUUACAUGGGAAUGCUGACAUUUACACCAGAUUUAAGGCAUUCUGACAACAUGGAGCACUUGUGAGAUUGCUGUAGGGAGUGAUUCUGUUCCGGCUGGCGGAAGGAUGCAAGGUCAGCUGGUUCCCCUUCAAGUCAGGCAUCAUUACAGACGUCCUGCGGAGGCAGAAGGACU